ensembl:lncRNA
AUGUCUUGCUGGAGAUCCCUGUAUAGCUGAGGUCUUCUAGAGGUAAGCAGCUCUUUUCCUUUAUUUCUGCAUGUGUGGUUGCUGUAUUUGGACUUGUUCUCAUUUGCUGUAGCUGAAGACUUAACCACCCCACUACUAUCAUGGUGCUUUCCAUUGCAUUGCAGCAUAUGUAGAGGAAUUACUUGGAAAAUGUCUGAUCAUCCAAACCGAUUGCAGUAGGUUUGAAUUAUAGAAUGAUAAGCAACAAGUUCACCUCAAACCCUCAGGCUAAGAAGUUAUAAUUAGCGCAUGCACCAUAAAACUAGCCCUUAAUUAAAUAAGCUUCAGAAUGGAGGAGGUUUUAUGAAGUCCCUCCCUUGCUUAUACAAUGUGGAGUGUGUGGAGGGCUUCCGUGGGGGGACACAGCAAUUCUCAAGCACUGUGAAGCAUUAAACAGAGUUUGAUGGAUGGUUUUGAGCAUGAGCAGCCAGGAGUGAGCUGGGCAGGUUGCUUAUGCUGGUGUUCAGCAGCAUUGCUGGCCCUGUGCUCCACAAGGGCCAACCAAGAGGCUCUCAGCACACCUCCAAAGAGCCCAGCAAUAUGGCCUCUACCUGUUGCCUGCCUUGGAGCAGUCUGAGUUUGUUCAUGCAAAGCAUAUGUUGAGGUACUGAGUGUGGAAAUGUCACCUCUCACAGAUGUCUCUCCCUUGGGGCUUUGAGAAGGCUGUGGGAGAGAGGACAUAUGGCACUGAGCUCAAGGCGCUCACAUGGGCUCUGGUGGGGAUGGGAAAGGGGAGUAACCAACUGAGCCCCAUGGCUCUGCCCAUGGCACCUGAACCCAGCGAGGCAGGGAAAGUGUUCAGUGCUGGGUAUUGGAACAGCCAAUGAACAAUUCCUCCUUGUGUGCUUCUGGAAUAUGCAAUGAAAAGUGCAUUCUCACAAUAUUGUAUUCCACCUGAGAGAAGGAGGAGGUCUGGCAGGUCUCACACUGCUGGUAGCUUCCGUUCUGUCUCUGGCAGGGCUCAGGGAAGCAUAAGUCCCACUGUGGGCUGCCUCUGAGGGCUGCAGAAUCAGGAGAGGCUCACAAGUGAGAGGUGGCACUGUGCCUUAGUUGGUCAGGAGGAGUCGGGAAGGUGGGCAUCACCAGUAGCUGGCAUAGCUAGGAAAGAAAUGCUACUAUUUCUCCUUAGCAUCCUAAAUUAUCCACAGACGCCAUCGCAGUAAUACUCCAUAAAUACCUCUGUUCUCACAGCCUCCCUCCCAGCAGCACUGCCCACCAGAAGCCCACUCCUCUCUGCAGAGAGCACACGCCAUCCACCAGCACUGCCUUUCAGCUGCAAGAAAUGGCACGACUAAAAAGCUGCAGUGAUGUGACAGCAGCCGGGGGUUACGGCCACCCGAUAAUCAUUGCUUUACUCAAAGGAAAAAGGAAAAAGUGAUAUAAAAAUCCUGCCAGCCUAUUUCUGUGACAUUCCCCUUCUGUGGAGGGCAGCAAUCGAUGCUGAGGAUCUGCACAACAAUCAGUUCCUGUAGGAUUGGGGGGAUCUCUUCGCUUCUGCACUGAAUGCUGAGUGAGCCUAUAAAUCCAGUUAGUCACACUUGCUGGAUUACAUUGGACCUUGCACUUAUGCUUUUAUUAACAAGAUUGUUUACUAUAUAAGAAGCUUUAUAUAACUCUGAAUCAGGCGUGAUUUGUAUAACGGCACAGAUGACGUGCAUUGCCAGCCAUCAGUUCUCCCUGUGCUCG